rnacentral:rRNA from 1 species
GAUGAACGCUAGCGGCAGGCCUAACACAUGCAAGUCGAGGGGUAACUAGAGUGAUAGCAAUAUUACUUUGGCUAGACCGGCGCACGGGUGCGUAACACGUAUGCAACCUACCUUAUACUGGGGAAUAACUUCGAGAAAUCGGCGCUAAUACCCCAUAACACUGCGGAGAGGCAUCUCUUUGCAGUUAAAGCUCCGGCGGUAUAAGAUGGGCAUGCGUCCAAUUAGCUAGUUGGUGAGGUAACGGCUCACCAAGGCUACGAUUGGUAGGGGUUCUGAGAGGAUGAUCCCCCACACUGGUACUGAGACACGGACCAGACUCCUACGGGAGGCAGCAGUGAGGAAUAUUGCGCAAUGGGGGGAACCCUGAUCCAGCAAUGCCGCGUGUGUGAAGAAGGCCUGAGGGUUGUAAAGCACUUUCAGUGGGGAGGAGGGUUGAUUGGUUAAGAGCUGAUUGAUUGGACGUUACCCACAGAAGAAGCACCGGCUAACUCCGUGCCAGCAGCCGCCGUAA